AGACAGAGAAAGAAGAGGCCAGGGAGAGCGCAGAGAGGAAACUGCAGAAAGCCGCAGGGAAAAAGAACUCCAAGAUUAAAAGUCCCCUUCUCAUUUGACGCGGAGGUGCUGGUCGACAUGUUUUUAAAAGGAUUCCUUGAAAUCUGAUAGAAAGGACAGGACCACUUCUGGACUAGCUUGUUACUUCAAGAAAUUCCUCAGCCUCUACAGACACUUGCAGUUUUGCUGCAAUGAUGUGCAGAAGAGAAGCGCCGUCACUUUACACAGGGAUGCAGAGACAGGGGAGCGGAACUGCCACACUUCAUUACCUUGGGGAGGGAGGGGCGUUGGCCAGGACUUGGGCGGGGCGGGGGACAGGGACAUCCCCUUCCCUCCCCCAGCACCUCCUCCCCCUCCCCAGGUACCUGGAGCGGGCUCCAGAGGGCCUCUGAGAAUAUUUGGGAAAGGUAUGGUUGCCUUUUUUCUUUCUUUCUUUAAUUCCUUUAGGGAGAAGUGAUACCCUUGUGUAACAAUUAGCUCAAACAAUAAAUAUA